UUCCAUGGAUUAUAUUUCACUUAGCCUUAAAAUCUGCCUCUGACUGCACUCGGAAGAGCAGACACCCAUGCGUCCCCCGGGAAAGGCUGCGGGGGUCCAAGCAGGACUGGCCUCAGUCAUGGAGUGUGCUGCUGGGGCCGGAGCGAGCAUCCAGCUGCCAUCUGUGGCCAGGAGCGGAGAUGCUGUCCCUAGCAGGGGCAGCUUUAUUCCCACACAGGGAUGUGCUCCAGAGGAGAGCCUAUAGAAGCCCUUUUGGAUGCCACAGCCAAGCGAGGAGUUGGGGUGGUGCAGGAAGAAGCUGAGAGAUGGGGAGGCUCCUUGCCCUGCCCACGCACAGGUGGCUGGAGGGGCGGGUGCUGGGCACAGCCCGGCCCGGCUCUUUGCCUCGACAUCGCCAGCAGGACUUGGUCUGGGGUGGAAGCAAUAAAGGUGUCAUUUCACCCUGCCCUGUUGGCUCUCUGGUGUACCGGGGGAGAUUUGUUUGUGCCCUGGAGAACUGGGAGCUGCCCAGUGCUCCUCUGCAGCACGGAGGGGCAAGAGGACGCACCCGGCUGGGCACAGCCUGUACCGGCACGGCUGCCACACCAUGUCCCACAGCCGCUGCGGCUGCCUGGGGCCAGCCUGGCACCGUGCCCGUGCCAUGGAGCCAACUCGUCUCUGUGGGGCCCCAAACCCUCCCCAAGGGUGGCGGGACAGGGAGCCCUCCGAGGUCGGUGCGGGAGCAGGAGGCCCCACCCCAGGGCGGUUGCUGACGCCACGCAAGGAGCCGGGUGUCCGGGAUCAGAGCAGGAAGCGGGAGCCGUCGGCGGCGGUGGGGCCCGGGGAGCCAGGAGAAGGGCUGCUGGGGAGUAGCCGGCGUGGGGCCGGGGCACACCGAGGCCCCGGCCCCACCAUGCACACACUGGGGCAGCUCCUGCUGGUGCUGGUGGUGGGGUCGGCGGGUGGCCGUGGGGUCCCCCGCGACACCCUGGCCUGCUCCCAGGGCCUCACCUGCCGCCUCUUGGACACCGAUGUGCUGUGCGGGACANNNNNNNNNNNNNNNNNNNNNNNNNNNNNNNNNNNNNNNNGCGGUGAUGGGGGACAGUGGUCACCAGUGACUGGGGCCACCCCGUCCCAGCCCAACGUUACUGGGCUGCUGCUGCUCUCUGGGCACACGUAUGCCUCAUCCCGCUGCGUGGCCGUGGAGGUCUGGGCACCCUUGGGCCCCGCCCUGCGCGGCCGAACCGUGGUAUGUAGAUGCGGGGCACCGGGGGUCAGUGUCCCUACACUGUCAGUCCCUGGGCACGGGGGAUGUGGGCGCUGGCAUCAGCGCAUCUCUGUGGCAUGGGGGUCCCGUUCCUGUGCCGCAGAGAGGUGGGUGCUGGCGGUGCCGGUGCCUCACCGCAGUGGGGUGGUGGUUUUCCUGCCCAGGGUUGGGUGA
rnacentral:lncRNA from 1 species